rnacentral:misc_RNA from 1 species
UGAGGCGGGCGAUGGUGCUGC